rnacentral:rRNA from 1 species
UACGUAGGGGGCAAGCGUUGUCCGGAAUCAUUGGGCGUAAAGCGCGUGUAGGCGGUCCGGUCAGUCCGCUGUGAAAGUCGGGGGCUCAACCCUCGGAUGCCGGUGGAUACUGUCGGGCUUGAGUACGGAAGAGGCGAGUGGAAUUCCUGGUGUAGCGGUGAAAUGCGCAGAUAUCAGGAGGAACACCAAUUGCGAAGGCAGCUCGCUGGGACGUUACUGACGCUGAGACGCGAAAGCGUGGGGAGCAAACAGG